ACGCUCGACACCUACGGAAGGCAGCAGUAGGGAAUCUUCCACAAUGGGCGCAAGCCUGAUGGAGCAACACCGCGUGAGUGAAGAAGGGUUUCGGCUCGUAAAGCUCUGUUGUUGGAGAAGAACGUGCGUGAGAGUAACUGUUCACGCAGUGACGGUAUCCAACCAGAAAGUCACGGCUAACUACGUGCCAGCAGCUGCGGUAAUCUGAGCGGGCUGGCAAGGC
rnacentral:rRNA from 1 species